GGACUUCUGAGUGGGCACCAUGGUCAUGAAGGUGUUUUCCCCGAGGUGAGGCUCAUUGAUCGUGUUCCAGAUGUGCUGACCCCCUGUGAUUUCCCCAAAUGUGAAAGAUUCAAGUGCAUAAUUUCAGGCACCAAAAGUGUUUUGGGUCAGUCCUGCACAUGG
rnacentral:snRNA from 1 species